rnacentral:rRNA from 1 species
CCUUGAAUCAGGCGGGACUACCCGCUGAACUUAAGCAUAUCAAUAAGCGGAGGAAAAGAAACUAACAAGGAUUCCCCUAGUAACGGCGAGUGAAGCGGGAUGAGCUCAAAUUUAAAAUCUGGUGUCCUUUGGGCAUCCGAGUUGUAGUCUAGAGAAGUGUUUUCCGUGUUGGACCAUGUACAAGUCUCCUGGAACGGAGCGUCAUAGAGGGUGAGAAUCCCGUUCUUGACAUGGACCCCCAAUGCUAUGUGAUGCACUCUCAAAGAGUCGAGUUGUUUGGGAUUGCAGCUCAAAAUGGGAGGUAAAUUCCUUCUAAAGCUAAAUAUUGGCGAGAGACCGAUAGCGAACAAGUACCGUGAGGGAAAGAUGAAAAGCACUUUGGAAAGAGAGUUAAACAGUACGUGAAAUUGUUAAAAGGGAAACGAUUGAAGUCAGUCGCGUUUAUUUGGACUCAGCCUUACUUCGGUUUGGUGCAUUUCCUUAGUAGAGCGGGCCAGCGUCG